rnacentral:rRNA from 1 species
GAGUUUGAUCCUGGCUCAGGAUGAACGCUGGCGGCGUGCCUAAUACAUGCAAGUCGAGCGAACGGACGAGAAGCUUGCUUCUCUGAUGUUAGCGGCGGACGGGUGAGUAACACGUGGAUAACCUACCUAUAAGACUGGGAUAACUUCGGGAAACCGGAGCUAAUACCGGAUAAUAUUUUGAACCGCAUGGUUCAAAAGUGAAAGACGGUCUUGCUGUCACUUAUAGAUGGAUCCGCGCUGCAUUAGCUAGUUGGUAAGGUAACGGCUUACCAAGGCAACGAUGCAUAGCCGACCUGAGAGGGUGAUCGGCCACACUGGAACUGAGACACGGUCCAGACUCCUACGGGAGCAGCAGUAGGGAAUCUUCCGCAAUGGGCGAAAGCCUGACGGAGCAACGCCGCGUGAGUGAUGAAGGUCUUCGGAUCGUAAAACUCUGUUAUUAGGGAAGAACAUAUGUGUAAGUAACUGUGCACAUCUUGACGGUACCUAAUCAGAAAGCCACGGCUAACUACGUGCCAGCAGCCGCGGUAAUACGUAGGUGGCAAGCGUUAUCCGGAAUUAUUGGGCGUAAAGCGCGCGUAGGCGGUUUUUUAAGUCUGAUGUGAAAGCCCACGGCUCAACCGUGGAGGGUCAUUGGAAACUGGAAAACUUGAGUGCAGAAGAGGAAAGUGGAAUUCCAUGUGUAGCGGUGAAAUGCGCAGAGAUAUGGAGGAACACCAGUGGCGAAGGCGACUUUCUGGUCUGUAACUGACGCUGAUGUGCGAAAGCGUGGGGAUCAAACAGGAUUAGAUACCCUGGUAGUCCACGCCGUAAACGAUGAGUGCUAAGUGUUAGGGGGUUUCCGCCCCUUAGUGCUGCAGCUAACGCAUUAAGCACUCCGCCUGGGGAGUACGACCGCAAGGUUGAAACUCAAAGGAAUUGACGGGGACCCGCACAAGCGGUGGAGCAUGUGGUUUAAUUCGAAGCAACGCGAAGAACCUUACCAAAUCUUGACAUCCUUUGACAACUCUAGAGAUAGAGCCUUCCCCUUCGGGGGACAAAGUGACAGGUGGUGCAUGGUUGUCGUCAGCUCGUGUCGUGAGAUGUUGGGUUAAGUCCCGCAACGAGCGCAACCCUUAAGCUUAGUUGCCAUCAUUAAGUUGGGCACUCUAAGUUGACUGCCGGUGACAAACCGGAGGAAGGUGGGGAUGACGUCAAAUCAUCAUGCCCCUUAUGAUUUGGGCUACACACGUGCUACAAUGGACAAUACAAAGGGCAGCGAAACCGCGAGGUCAAGCAAAUCCCAUAAAGUUGUUCUCAGUUCGGAUUGUAGUCUGCAACUCGACUACAUGAAGCUGGAAUCGCUAGUAAUCGUAGAUCAGCAUGCUACGGUGAAUACGUUCCCGGGUCUUGUACACACCGCCCGUCACACCACGAGAGUUUGUAACACCCGAAGCCGGUGGAGUAACCUUUUAGGAGCUAGCCGUCGAAGGUGGGACAAAUGAUUGGGGUGAAGUCGUAACAAGGUAGCCGUAUCGGAAGGUGCGGCUGGAUCACC